CCGUCUCAAUGUUCACCGCCUGAUCAGCGGUGCCCAGAGCAGCGAGACGGACACAAGUUAAUAUCGUCAACCCACUGGGACGGUUGGCCAGUUAAGAAGUGAGGAUUCAUUCUUAUGGCCAAUUAUUAUGGGAUGUCCUGCGUGGAUUCUCA
rnacentral:ncRNA from 1 species